AUUGAACGCUGGCGGCAGGCCUAACACAUGCAAGUAGAACGAGUGGCGGACGGGUGAGUAAUGUAGGGGAAACGGCCUGAUGGAGGGGGAUAACUACUGGAAAGGGUAGCUAAUACCGCAUACCAUCAGAUGUGCCCAGAUGGGAGUAGCUUUUGGGUGGGGUAACGGCUAACAAGGGCGACGGUCACUAGCUGGUCUGAAAGGAUGACGGGCAAACCUGGAACGAAGAACGGGUCCAGCGUCUUACGGGAGCAAGCAGUGGGGAAUAUCGCACAAUGGUCGCAAGCCGGAUGCAGCAAGGCCGCGUGUAUGAAGAGGGCCUUCGGGUUGAAAAGUACUUUCAGAGGGGAGGCUUUACCCGCAGAAGAAGCACCGGCUAACUCCGUGCCAGCCGCCGCGGUAAUUC
rnacentral:rRNA from 1 species